rnacentral:rRNA from 1 species
AACGAACGCUGGCGGCAUGCCUAACACAUGCAAGUCAAACGAAACCUUCGGGUCUAGUGGCGAACGGGUGCGUAACGCGGGGGAACCUGCCCUUAGGUUCGGAAUAACUCCCCGAAAGGGGUGCUAAUACCGGUAAAUUUCUUCGGACCAAAGAUUUAUCGCCUUUGGAUGGGCCCGCGUUGGAUUAGCUAGUUGGUAGGGUAAAAGCCUACCAAGGCGACGAUCCAUAGCUGGUCUGAGAGGAUGAUCAGCCACACUGGGACUGAGACACGGCCCAGACUCCUACGGGAGGCAGCAGUGGGGAAUAUUGGACAAUGGGCGAAAGCCUGAUCCAGCAAUGCCGCGUGAGUGAUGAAGGCCUUAGGGUUGUAAAGCUCUUUUACCCGGGAUGAUAAUGACAGUACCGGGAGAAUAAGCUCCGGCUAACUCCGUG